AACGUAGGGGGCGAGCGUUGUCCGGAAUUACUGGGCGUAAAGGGCGCGUAGGCGGUUAUCCAAGUCAGGGGUGAAAACCUUGGGCUCAACUCAGGGCCUGCCUCUGAAACUGGGUAACUUGAGGGCAGGAGAGGGGAGUGGAAUUCCCAGUGUAGCGGUGAAAUGCGUAGAUAUUGGGAGGAACACCAGUGGCGAAGGCGGCUCUCUGGCCUAACCCUGACGCUGAGGCGCGAAAGCGUGGGGAUCAAAUAGGAUUAGAUACCCCCCGUAGUCCCUGAGCGGGCUGG
rnacentral:rRNA from 1 species